rnacentral:rRNA from 1 species
GAUGAACGCUGGCGGCAGGCCUAACACAUGCAAGUCGAGGGAGGAGCUUUCGGGCUUCGACCGGCGUACGGGUGCGUAACGCGUAUACAAUCUGCCUUUCACAUAGGGAUAGCCCGAAGAAAUUUGGAUUAAUACCUAAUGGUAUAUAGAGGUGGCAUCACCUUUAUAUUAAAGCUGAGGCGGUGAAAGAUGAGUAUGCGUUCUAUUAGCUAGUUGGAGAGGUAACGGCUCCCCAAGGCGACGAUAGAUAGGGGUUCUGAGAGGGAUAUCCCCCACACUGGUACUGCGAUACGGACCAGACUCCUACGGGAGGCAGCAGUGAGGAAUAUUGGACACUGGUCGGAAGACUGAUCCAGCCAUGCCGCGUGCAGGAAGUCGGCCUUAUGGGUUGUAAGCUGCUUUUGCAGGGGAAGAAUAAGGGCUACGCGUAGUUUGAUGACGGUACUCUGCGAAUAAGCAUCGGCUAACUCCGUG